ACGGAGGGGACUAGCGUUGUUCGGAAUUACUGGGCGUAAAGCGCGCGUAGGCGGAUUGGAAAGUUGGGGGUGAAAUCCCAGGGCUCAACCCUGGAACUGCCUCCAAAACUAUCAGUCUAGAGUUCGAGAGAGGUGAGUGGAAUUCCGAGUGUAGAGGUGAAAUUCGUAGAUAUUCGGAGGAACACCAGUGGCGAAGGCGGCUCACUGGCUCGAUACUGACGCUGAGGUGCGAAAGUGUGGGGAGCAAACAGG
rnacentral:rRNA from 1 species